CUUAGGUGCUGGCCUGGAAUUUGGGUUUGCAGAGCAGAUGUGGCUGCUUGUGCCUAGGGAGGGGGAGAUGGCUCAGAGGCUCAUCUGCAGGGGAUGCUACACAGAAAGGGGGGCCUGCCAGCAGAGUACAGUCAGAUCGGUGUUUGGUGUGCUGGGGGCACAGCUCUGCACAACUGCUCAGAGGAUCGGGACCCAAGUGAGCAAAAGUUACUUAUGUGGCCUGGUGUUUGCUGGGCUGGGAGCUCGUACAGCUGCAAAUCACCCUGAAGGGAGGAGAUCCUGUCAGCUGGCACCCGGAGCCAGCCAAUGGGGUUGGAUUACGCAAGGUCAUGACUUGUCUGUACAAGUUCCCGGGAAAUACAAGCCUCCAA